rnacentral:rRNA from 1 species
UACGAGGGGGGCGAGCGUUGUUCGGAAUUAUUGGGCGUAAAGGGCGCGUAGGCGGUGCGGUAAGUCACCUGUGAAAUCUCUGGGCUUAACUCAGAGCCUGCAGGCGAAACUGCCGUGCUGGAGUGUGGGAGAGGUGCGUGGAAUCCCCGGUGUAGUGGUGAAAUGCGUAGAGAUCGGGGGGAACACCCGUGGCGAAGGCGGCCAGCUGGGCCGACCCUGACACUGAGGCGCGAAGGCGUGGGGAGCGAACGGG